AGCUUUGCACAGUGGCAGUAUCAUGCCAGUGAGGGUUACCUGAGGAACAAUUAUUGCUAAUAGAAAACCCCAAAAUGCACUGAAUCCCAAAGUUUUUUGAGAGUCAACAAAAUGCUCCAAGUGGAAAAUUCCA
ensembl:snRNA U4 U4 spliceosomal RNA